AACGUUUACAUUUUGUAGCUUAAUUUUAACUUAGAAUUAUUUUAACAUUAGCACUUCGCUCAGUUUCUCUUAUAAAAAUGCACUUAAAUUUAUAAUGGAAUUCUGACAGCUUUAAUCCAGGUAGUACCGCCUACCAAACGAGUUGGUAUUAUGUUUUUUUCAAGUAGAUAUGCCGAUCUGAUAAGAGUCCGUCGAUUAUUUACGAUUGCAUUUUAUUUCAUUUAUCAUGCGGGGCAUUUGUUUUAAACUUGCAAAGCUCUUCGAUAGCGAUAGCUGAGGUUCUUGCUAAAAUAUUUUUAAUUCUAAAGUUAGUUGCUGACUAUAUUCGACGCUGUGCGUUUUUAGACUCCAAAUUGCGGCAGUGGCAGGAAAUUUACACUUUUGUCAAUAAAUAUUAAAGAAUUUUGUUGUUUUGCUGUUGUUUCAUUUCAAUAGAGUUUUCCUGGUGUAUAAAACUUUUAAGCUAAUGCCACAAAAUAUGCCUAAAUUAGGAAACUCAAUCUAUACAAGUUGACAAUGAUCAAAAAGGCUACUGGACAUAGAGUACAAAAGGCACAAUGUGAAAUGACCAACGUGUACGAAAAAGAAGACAACUGAGACAUAUAUAUAUAUAUGCGAUAAGGAACUACUGUGAAGAAAAAACGAAAUGGAUUGCGUACAUAUCUUUAAAUUCCUUGGAUGUCGCCACCGAAGCGGGUUUUAUUUACAAAAAUAUAAUAAAUAGGUUUGUACAGAGAAUAUACAUUUAUAAAAUGGGAGCCUUUUGGGCAAAUAGAACGAUCACAAAACGAA